GCGGGCAUAGCUCAGUGGUAGAGCGUCUCGUUGCCAACGAGAAGGUCGUGGGUUCGAGUCCCAUUGCCCGCU
rfam:Pelagibacteraceae bacterium GOM-A3 A3_S3_21, whole genome shotgun sequence.